CAGCCCCGUACACAAAAAUGCACAUAUUGUGAGCUCGAUGAGUAGGGCGGGACACGUGGUAUCCUGUCUGAAUAUGGGGGGACCAUCCUCCAAGGCUAAAUACUCCUGACUGACCGAUAGUGAACCAGUACCGUGAGGGAAAGGCGAAAAGAACCCCGGCGAGGGGAGUGAAAAAGAACCUGAAACCGUGUACGUACAAGCAGUGGGAGCCUCUUAAUGGGGUGACUGCGUACCUUUUGUAUAAUGGGUCAGCGACUUAUAUUCUGUAGCAAGGUUAACCGAAUAGGGGAGCCGAAGGGAAACCGAGUCUUAACUGGGCGUUAAGUUGCAGGGUAUAGACCCGAAACCCGGUGAUCUAGCCAUGGGCAGGUUGAAGGUUGGGUAACACUAACUGGAGGACCGAACCGACUAAUGUUGAAAAAUUAGCGGAUGACUUGUGGCUGGGGGUGAAAGGCCAAUCAAACCGGGAGAUAGCUGGUUCUCCCCGAAAGCUAUUUAGGUAGCGCCUCGUGAAUUCAUCUCCGGGGGUAGAGCACUGUUUCGGCAAGGGGGUCAUCCCGACUUACCAACCCGAUGCAAACUGCGAAUACCGGAGAAUGUUAUCACGGGAGACACACGGCGGGUGCUAACGUCCGUCGUGAAGAGGGAAACAACCCAGACCGCCAGCUAAGGUCCCAAAGUCAUGGUUAAGUGGGAAACGAUGUGGGAAGGCCCAGACAGCCAGGAUGUUGGCUUAGAAGCAGCCAUCAUUUAAAGAAAGCGUAAUAGCUCACUGGUCGAGUCGGCCUGCGCGGAAGAUGUAACGGGGCUAAACCAUGCACCGAAGCUGCGGCAGCGACACUAUGUGUUGUUGGGUAGGGGAGCGUUCUGUAAGCCUGUGAAGGUGGCCUGUGAGGGUUGCUGGAGGUAUCAGAAGUGCGAAUGCUGACAUAAGUAACGAUAAAGCGGGUGAAAAGCCCGCUCGCCGGAAGACCAAGGGUUCCUGUCCAACGUUAAUCGGGGCAGGGUGAGUCGACCCCUAAGGCGAGGCCGAAAGGCGUAGUCGAUGGGAAACAGGUUAAUAUUCCUGUACUUGGUGUUACUGCGAAGGGGGGACGGAGAAGGCUAUGUUGGCCGGGCGACGGUUGUCCCGGUUUAAGCGUGUAGGCUGGUUUUCCAGGCAAAUCCGGAAAACCAAGGCUGAGGCGUGAUGACGAGGCACUACGGUGCUGAAGCGACAAAUGCCCUGCUUCCAGGAAAAGCCUCUAAGCAUCAGGUAACAUCAAAUCGUACCCCAAACCGACACAGGUGGUCAGGUAGAGAAUACCAAGGCGCUUGAGAGAACUCGGGUGAAGGAACUAGGCAAAAUGGUGCCGUAACUUCGGGAGAAGGCACGCUGAUAUGUAGGUGAAGCGACUUGCUCGUGGAGCUGAAAUCAGUCGAAGAUACCAGCUGGCUGCAACUGUUUAUUAAAAACACAGCACUGUGCAAACACGAAAGUGGACGUAUACGGUGUGACGCCUGCCCGGUGCCGGAAGGUUAAUUGAUGGGGUUAGCGGUAACGCGAAGCUCUUGAUCGAAGCCCCGGUAAACGGCGGCCGUAACUAUAACGGUCCUAAGGUAGCGAAAUUCCUUGUCGGGUAAGUUCCGACCUGCACGAAUGGCGUAAUGAUGGCCAGGCUGUCUCCACCCGAGACUCAGUGAAAUUGAACUCGCUGUGAAGAUGCAGUGUACCCGCGGCAAGACGGAAAGACCCCGUGAACCUUUACUAUAGCUUGACACUGAACAUUGAGCCUUGAUGUGUAGGAUAGGUGGGAGGCUUUGAAGUGUGGACGCCAGUCUGCAUGGAGCCGACCUUGAAAUACCACCCUUUAAUGUUUGAUGUUCUAACGUUGGCCCGUAAUCCGGGUUGCGGACAGUGUCUGGUGGGUAGUUUGACUGGGGCGGUCUCCUCCUAAAGAGUAACGGAGGAGCACGAAGGUUGGCUAAUCCUGGUCGGACAUCAGGAGGUUAGUGCAAUGGCAUAAGCCAGCUUGACUGCGAGCGUGACGGCGCGAGCAGGUGCGAAAGCAGGUCAUAGUGAUCCGGUGGUUCUGAAUGGAAGGGCCAUCGCUCAACGGAUAAAAGGUACUCCGGGGAUAACAGGCUGAUACCGCCCAAGAGUUCAUAUCGACGGCGGUGUUUGGCACCUCGAUGUCGGCUCAUCACAUCCUGGGGCUGAAGUAGGUCCCAAGGGUAUGGCUGUUCGCCAUUUAAAGUGGUACGCGAGCUGGGUUUAGAACGUCGUGAGACAGUUCGGUCCCUAUCUGCCGUGGGCGCUGGAGAACUGAGGGGGGCUGCUCCUAGUACGAGAGGACCGGAGUGGACGCAUCACUGGUGUUCGGGUUGUCAUGCCAAUGGCACUGCCCGGUAGCUAAAUGCGGAAGAGAUAAGUGCUGAAAGCAUCUAAGCACGAAACUUGCCCCGAGAUGAGUUCUCCCUGAGACUUAGAGUCUCCUGAAGGAACGUUGAAGACGACGACGUUGAUAGGCCGGGUGUGUAAGCGCAGCGAUGCGUUGAGCUAACCGGUACUAAUGAACCGUGAGGCUUAACCUU
rnacentral:rRNA from 1 species